rnacentral:rRNA from 1 species
ACAAUGGCAGGUACAGAGGGAUGCUACCGGGCGACCGGAUGCGGAUCUCGAAAGCCUGUCCCAGUUCGGACUGGAGUCUGCAACCCGACUCCACGAAGUUGGAUUCGCUAGUAAUCGCGCAUCAGCCAUGGCGCGGUGAAUACGUUCCCGGGCCUUGUACGCACCGCCCGUCAAGCCAUGGGAGCCGGGGGCGCCUGAAGUCCGGGACCGCGAGGACCGGCCUAGGGCGAAACUGGUAACUGGGGCUAAGUCGUAACAAGGUAUC